GUGGAUUAGAUACCCUAGUAGUCCACGCCCUAAACGAUGUCGACUAGUUGUCGGGUCUCUACAGACUUGGUAACGCAGCUAACGCGUGAAGUCGACCGCCUGGGGAGUACGGUCGCAAGAUUAAAACUCAAAGGAAUUGACGGGGACCCGCACAAGCGGUGGAUGAUGUGGAUUAAUUCGAUGCAACGCGAAAAACCUUACCUACCCUUGACAUGGCAGGAACUCCGCAGAGAUGUGGAGGUGCCCGAAAGGGAGCCUGCGCACAGGUGCUGCAUGGCUGUCGUCAACU
rnacentral:rRNA from 1 species